AUGUCACGUGUAUGGCAUGUGGAAAUGAAUCAGGGGCAUGUGAGGAGGAGGAGGACGCCUGUGUCUGUGUUUGCAUCCAAGGAUCUCCUCUCACUCUGUGUUUGCGUAGGUGUCUGGCUCCCUGCUCCCCCUCCCUGCGCUGCUGCCUCGCUCCCUCCCUGCCUCCCGCUCAUCCUCCAUCUGGCCAGCUCUGCUUUCCCUGCCAGCUCCAGCAAUUCCUCAAGCAGAAACUGCAGCUUUUUUUCCCGCAUCCCAGCAGCAAAACGAGGGGGCCCCCAAUUCCCGGUGCCCACCUGGGGGAGAGCAGGGACACGUGCUCCCCAGCAUAUCUCCCUUUCCCAUUCCCCUCCCCCCGCAUUUUUGCUCCUUGCUCAGCACCCAGCGCCCUGCACAUUGCACCAAGGGCAAGCCCAUAACGUCAGCGUGAUACAGCCGCCAGCCAAGUCCCCUUGCAGAGGGUGGGUCGCGCUCGCCCCUUUGCCCUCCUCCCCCUGCCCCAAGCCGAGCUCAGAGCCUGCACCCCAACGGAGAGGUGUGGCUGGGAAUGGAGGGGGGAGCACACCCUACACCCCAUUCCCACAGCACCUCCCUUGCCUGCCCAGAGCCCCCAGUAUCACUCCCGUCGGUUCCAUCACCCCCUCCCCAAGUGAUAAGCUCAGCAGUGCUUUCUUUUUCCCUUUCUUUUUUCCUUCCCUUUCCUUUGAAGUCUCCCUGUGCAGCGGGCGAUCUGGGACGUCUCUGCAUCCCCAGGCUCCCUCCCAGGACUCCCUGCCGCCACCCCUCAGGCCCCCAGCCCCAAGGCGCGUUGCCCCACUACGGAUGCUUUCCCCCAAAGCCCCUUCCCCACCAGGGAACGGCCAUUCCCUCCCAGCACUCCCUUCUUUCCCCAGCCCUCUCUCAGCUCCAUUCCUGGCACUGCCGUCGCCCACCUCGCUGUCCCCAGGCUGUCCCCGCGUCCCCCCCACGGCCGUGGCCGCGCUGCAGUGUGCGGGAGGUGCCUGCAGCACGCGGGCUAUAAAUAGCACCGAGAGCUGCGCUCCCAUUGACACCGUUUGGACAGAACAUGGAAAAAUAAACAAAGGAAACUCCGGCUCCAAAAGGCAGCCGCGUUCCUGCCGCUAA
rnacentral:lncRNA from 1 species